UAAACAAAAUGGACGGACAGUUGAUAUACAAAUACUUAAAUUCUAAGUACGUAUUCCAAUAUAACUAAGUUAUUUCGAUGGGAAAAUAUGUCCGUUUCUAUAUUUAUUUUACAUUAGACAUGUUAGAGGGAAAGGAAUAACGUGAUUUUACAAUGUUUUCAAGUCAUGAAUAGAAUCCAAAAUUUAGUUAGUUUUUUGGUUAUGAAGUUGUUUGUUAUCGACUUCGAAUGUCCCUUUGGUAUAAUCCAUUCUGUUUGUAUAACUUGUUCUAAUGUUCUAACACUGUAGCACUUACACCACUUUUCCAAAACUUGGAAGUGUUAAGUGCUCAUAAAUAUAUUCAACCUAACGUCAUUUUGUUUUUAAUUGUUUUGUAUGUACAAGGAUCAUGUCUGGUGGUUUUCUAUUGUUGAUGUCCGUUACAAUUGUUUAGUCUUACAUCUAUAAUACCAUCAUAUAUUGUUUACUUUUACCUAUUGACUGCGUAUGGAUUCGCAUGGCGGUGAAGCCUACACAUCAAGAGACGCUUACCCUGUCGAUUCAGUCCAUCUCGCUCCUAUUAGAUUUCAUGAGAUUCCCUCAGUCUUUGUUUUUAGCUUAAUUUGUGCCUUCCUAAUCGAUUAAUGAGGAUUGAACAUCGGCAAAGUACUGUUGCAUAAAUCUAUGUAUCAGAAUACUUAAUUUUGUAUUUGUAGGUAAAAUAAUGUCUAAGCCUGGAAAAUUCUGCACAUCUUGUCGGUUGGCUCACAAUGAAUCAAAUCCUACUACAAACUGGUGCCCAUCCUGUCAGGAAUCGUUGUGCAGUAAAUGCAGUGGAUGUCACAAAGUACAAACAUCAACAAAAAGUCACCAACUUAAUUCAAUCGAGGAUGUCAAGAUGUUACCGUCGGUCGCUUUGUCGAUUAAUGUUAUGUGUGAUAAGCAUAAUAUGAAACUUGAUUGUUUUUGCUCAUUUCACAACGAACCUUGUUGUGUCCAAUGCAUAUCAAGAAAUCAUCCUGAUUGCCGUCCUCCAAUAUCUUCACUUGAAAAUAUUGUAAAAAUCUCAAAGCAAUCAUCUACUGUUAAAAAGCUUGAAGACAGUGCAUGUUCUGUUGUUGAAACCCUGGAUAUUUUGAAACAAGAUCAAGAACAAUAUUACGAAAAUGUCAAAAAGCAACGACAACAAUUAGAAUCUGAGGUUAAAGAAUUUCGAAAAAGUAUAAGCAGCUGCCUUGAUCAUCUUGAAAAAAGGCUUAUAGAAAGUAUUGCAAAAUCAUCUGAUCGUUGUAAGAAUGAACUAUCAGAAAAAUACAAUGAACUAGAUGCUUUAACCGUUCAGUGCAAAGGUAUCAGAGAUAAUAUUUCAAAUAUGAAACAAUUUGCAUCUGACUUACAGAUGUUUCUUGGGAAUAUAUCACUACAAAAAAGACUUGAUUCUAUUGGAUCGUCUAUAUCAGGAAUAGGCCAGAAACUAGGAAUGUAUAAAAUACAAUUUACAAGGGACUUAGAUAUCAAGCAUUUCGAGUCGUUUGUGGAAGAGUUUGCCGACACACGCAUUAUAUGUGAGAACCAUUACGAUUCUAAGUUUUCACAAGCUCAAACCUGGACAGCAAAGUCACGUAAAGAUCAACGCGGAAUUAGUGCUAAGGGAGCAAAAAGUGCAUCCAUUAGAGGUGGGGAAGGUAAAUCUCUUGAAACUAAAGAUACUAAACGAGUUAUUAACCCUAAAUCUAGAGUGACCGAAUUCGAAACCACAAGGUUUUCGUCAACGACAAAGCUGACACUACAACAAAAAUUCGUAACUGAAUCAACUGAUUACAUCAAUAUAAAUGGAUGCACCAUUCUUUCUAAUGGGGAGCUUCUAUUCACAGAAUAUGAAAAUAAGUGUCUUGUUGUCUAUCAGAGCGAUGGCGUUAAAUCUCGAACAAUAAAGUUGUUCGAUAACCCAUGGGAUGUAUGUGAGGUUGAGAAUAAAACUGUAGCUUUGAAUUUCCCCGUUCGAAGUACAAUUCAGGUUAUAGAAAUUUCUUCAUCCAAGGGCAAGGUAAUGGAAAGCUUCGAUCUGUAUUUCAGAUGGUAUUUGUUCCGCUAUAACCUUCAACGAUCCAAACUUGUCAAAAUAAUAGAAAUGAAGUUUCAUGACGCUAAAUACAUUACAUUUCAUUCUUCGCGUUUAUUUUAUACCGACUGGAAGAAAAACGAAGUACAAUGUAGUGUGUUGCGAUUUGGAACAACGAAUUUAUUGGAAAUUCAAGAGGUCGGACAUAAAAUGUCCUAGUGGCGUAUGUGUUGACUAUGAAGGCAAUAUCCUUGUUGUCGGAACGUCUUCGGGCAAUAUUCUUAAAAUAAAACGUGAUGGAAAAUCAGCUGAAGAAAUUCUAAGAACCGAAGGCAGUUUUAUUUCUCCAACUGGAAUUUUCAUUGGAAAACAAAAAGAGCUCGUUUUGAUUUGCUUUCAUAAUAAUACCUUUGCCGCAACAUUUAAAUUCUUUAAAACAAAAUAAACUGUUGAAAAAAAUAAAGCUGAGUAACAAUUUAUUUGAUAUCGUCUAAUCGUUUCUGUAGAAAAUAUAUGACUGCUUUAUAUGAUAAAGCAAUCGUUUUCCUUCUUUUUUUUUAGGAAAUAAUGUAUGUCCACUUAAUAUUAUCGAAACAUAUUUAACCCUGCCAUAUUGGAGAUGCGCCUGCACCGAGUUUUGAGUGUGUAGGUCAGUGUUUAUCGUCGGUUCAUGUCUGUCAUAUUUGUAUUUUCGCAAAUGUGAUUGUUAUAAAUUAGACCGUUAGAUUUCUC
rnacentral:lncRNA from 1 species